GAUGAACGCUGGCGGCGUGCCUAAUACAUGCAAGUCGAGCGAACGGACGAGAAGCUUGCUUCUCUGAUGUUAGCGGCGGACGGGUGAGUAACACGUGGAUAACCUACCUAUAAGACUGGGAUAACUUCGGGAAACCGGAGCUAAUACCGGAUGAUAUUUUGAACCGCAUGGUUCAAAAGUGAAAGACGGUCUUGCUGGCACUUAUAGAUGGAUCCGCGCUGCAUUAGCUAGUUGGUAAGGUAACGGCUUACCAAGGCAACGAUGCAUAGCCGACCUGAGAGGGUGAUCGGCCACACUGGAACUUGGACACGGUCCAGACUCCUACGGGAGGCAGCAGUAGGGAAUCUUCCGCAAUGGGCGAAAGCCUGACGGAGCAACGCCGCGUGAGUGAUGAAGGUCUUCGGAUCGUAAAACUCUGUUAUUAGGGAAGAACAUAUGUGUAAGUAACUGUGCACAUCUUGACGGUACCUAAUCAGAAAGCCACGGCUAACUACGUG
rnacentral:rRNA from 1 species